GCAAAAGUCAAAUCUCUGUCACUCCCUUUGGGUCUUCGUGCCUGUUCCUAGCUGAUUUCCAGGAGGGAAGAUGAAAACUUUGCUUCUCUCUCUCCUUCUCUUUGCUAUUGCAGCAUGUGUCCGUUCCCAGGUUACACUGCUGCAGACCGGAGCAGCCCAGGUGAAGCCCUCACAGACCCUGAGACUGACCUGCUCCGUGUCUGGAUUCUCUCUCACGUCUAGCGGGUAUGGAGUGAGCUGGGUUCGACAGCCCCCGGGGAAAGGCCUGGAGUGGUUAUCCGCUGUGUAUUGGGAUGAUAACAAAUAUUACCAGGAGUCUCUGAAAAACCGACUGACCAUCUCGAGGGACACCUCUAAAAGCGAGGUGUAUUUGGAAAUGAUAGGCAUGGAAGCCGGAGACAGCGGCACCUAUUACUGCGCCAGAGACACAGUGACACAGACCUCCGGGUUCGCCUUCAGCAGUUAUCUCAUGGAUUGGAUCCGUCUGGCCCCUGGGAGGGGGCUGGAGUGGCUGGCCAGAGCUGCUGCCCAGGGGAGCGCCUACUACGCUGAUUCCGUGAAAGGGCGAUUCACCAUCUCCAGAGAUAACGCCAACAGCCUGGUGCAUUUGCAAAUCAGCGGCCUGAGAGCGGAGGACACCGCGCGGUAUUACUGUGUCAGAGACACACAGCCAGCGACCUAG